AGUUUUACAUGAAUUUCUCUCUCCCGCAUAGUAGAUAAGCUCAUAGAGUUCACGCGGUGUACCCUUUCUUUAUCUGAGGGGAAAUUUAAGAGAGGAAUGAAGAGAGUACAAGGUUUCGCUGUAGGUGUACCUGCGGAAGGAUCAUUAAUAAAACGAAUCUGCGGUUUAGGUCAGCCCUGACCGUAGUGUUUUAAACCAACUGUGAACUAAAACCUUAUUGCUUCGGUAGCUGGGUUCGGGUCUAACCGCCCUGCCCGUCAGCCUGCCGGCAGCAACCAAACCAAAACUUGCUUUAAAAAUUAUGUCUGAAACCAAUCAUUUUCGAAUGAAAAUUAAAACUUUCAACAACGGAUCUCUUGGUUCUCGCAUCGAUGAAGAACGCAGCGAAACGCGAUAGUUAAUGUGAAUUGCAGAAUUCAGUGAAUCAUCGAGUCUUUGAACGCACAUUGCGCCCAUCGGUAUUCCUUUGGGCAUGUCUGUUUGAGCGUCAUUUCAACUCUCUAUCCAUAAAUUUUUUUGUGCGAUUAGGUUUUGAGCUCGGUUUUGAUAGGUCAAACCACCAGCCGGCUUUAAAGUUGAACGCUCUGCGGGUGACUUUCUACCUGACCGAACAUAGUAAAAUUUUUAUUCUUGUUCUACUUGGUACCAAGUUGUUUACCCAGCCUGAACAAACUUAUAUUUCUAAGGUUUGACCUCAGAUCAGACAAGGAUGCCCGCUGAACUUAAGCUUUAAAGGGGGGGGAAAAAAAUUGAACAAUUGAGAACCCCAUAACCAGCGUUCACAUGAAGACAACACAACAAGGCGAGAGUCUGUACAAAGUGCUUCUUCUAGUGAUUCACCGAGGAGUCCGAGCAGCGACACCUACAAUCCUUCUGAAGGAGUGAUCGGUUGGACGAUUGGGUUUGAUGCCACUACAGGAUCACUCUCUCAACUGCUGCUCUAAAAUGUGGACGCGCUGCGCUCCA
rnacentral:rRNA from 1 species